rnacentral:lncRNA from 1 species
CGGAGCCGCUCGGGGGGCUCGGAGGGUCCCCGAGGUGACGGAGCCGCUUGGGGGGCUCGGGAUGUCCCCAAGGAGGUGACGGAGCCACCGGGAUGGCUCGGAGGGUCCCCGAGGAGGCGAUGGAGCCACUCGGGGGGCUCGAGGGGUCCCCGCAGAGGGGGACGGAGCCACCAGGAGGGCUCGGUACGUCCCCAAGGAGGUGACGGAGCCCCAGGAGGGCUCAGAGGGUCCCCAAGGAGGCGACGGAGCCGCUCGGGGGGCUCAGGACGUCCCCGCGGCGGGUGCCGGAGGCUCUGGAGCUGCCGGGGUGACUCACGUGUCCCCGCAGCGGGUGCUGGAGCCGCCGGGACGGCUCAGGACAUUCCCGAGGAGGUGACGGAGCCGCUCGGGGGGCUCAGGACGUCCCCGGGGGGGUUACGGAAGUGCAGAACGUCCCCACGGCAGGUCCCGGAGCGCCGGGAUGACCCAGGGGUCUCUGAAAGGGCUGCUGGAGCUGCCGGGACGCUCCAGGACGCCUCUGCAGUGGGUGACGGAGCUGCCGCGGGAACCGGGACGGCUCAGGGCGUCUCCAGGGGGGUCUAUAGGGCUGUGGAAGCCACCAAGGCGGCUCAGAACGUCCCCAGGGCGCUUUACGGAGCUGUGCGAGUCAUCGGCGUGGCUCGAGGUGUCCUCGGGGUGGUUUACGGACCUGCGGGAGCUGCCAGGACGGCUCAGAACGUCCCCACGGCAGGUCCYGGAGCCUCGGGAGCCACCACGAUGACUCAUGUGUCUUCGAAACA